rnacentral:tRNA from 2 species
GGGCAGGUAGCUCAGUCGGUACGAGCGUCCGCCUGAAAAGCGGAAGGUCGGCGGUUCGAUCCCGCCCCUGCCCA